GCAUUUUGAGGAAACGCGCGUACAGAAUCGCCUCUUUUUAGGCGGCUUUUUUCAUAUCUGGAAAAGAGAGAGAGUGAGAGAGAGUCAGUGCGCGAACGCUCACCCCCCACGCAAACAUACACACACGCACGCGCGCGAAGCCGAGAAGCGAGAGACACGGACGCUGUUCCGCUGCUGGGUUUGGAGUACAAACUCGUCCGAACGCACGAAUCGUGGAUUAUUACGCGAAGAACCCGCGGAAACCAUGAGCUGGGGAACCGAGCUAUGGGUCUGCAAGUAGAAUCCUUGGAUUACCAUCCAACCUUUGAUCUCGAAGCAUUCCUGCCGAAACUUCAGCCUACGGCUGUGGCUAUCAAAUGCAGUGUGUGUUUCAGGAUGGAGAGGCACUAAACCUGAGAAGGCUUCUCUUCUCACAUAAUGCUCUGAACAUAAGCAACCUAUAUAUGAAGACAGAUAGAGACAGGAAGUAGUGUGUGUGUGUGGACUGUAUGUGAAUGAUCAAUAACAUUUGUCAGUUUGUCAUGGCAGAGUGCAAUUUCAGCCACAGUCUGUGUGUGUGACUUAAUGUCAACAUGACAUCAGAAUUGACACUGUUCACUUCAUCAGUGCAUGUAUGUGGUCAUAUUGUUUGUGAUUUGUUGCAUGUUAUUUCAAAGAAACAACAUUUAUAUUAAGACUAUUAUAUGUUUGAAAUCUAAUUAAUUAGCUAUAUAUUUGUGACCCUGCACCACAAAACCAGUCCUAAGUCGCUGGGGUAUAUUUGUAGCAAUAGUCAAAAAUACAUUAUAUGGGUCAAAAUGAUAGAUUUUUCUUUAAUGCCAAAAAUCAUUAGGAUAUUAAGUAAAGAUCAUGUUCCAUGAAAAUACACACACACACACACACACACACACAUAUAUAUAUAUAUAUAUAUAUAUAUAUAUAUCUAUAUAUAUCUAUAUCUAUANNNNNNNNNNNNNNNNNNNNNNNNNNNNNNNNNNNUAUAUAUAUAUAUAUAUAUAUAUAUAAUUUAAUAUAAAAUUACUAUUUAAUUACUUUUUUAUAUAUUAUUUUACAUUUCUCUUUUUUAAUUUAGUUUAGAAUUCCCUCGAAUUUUUUUCAUUUUUAAAAAAAAAAAAAUUCUAGUUUCAAUAUAUGUAAUUUUUAGUUUGGUUUUAGUAUUUUAGUUAAAACACUGAAAAUGUUUAUUUAUAGUUUGAAAAUGUUUAUUUAACGUUCAAUUUCUCACAGCACUAACUUGUGACAUUUUCUAAUAUAAUGAAAAGUAAAGAUUUUAAAUUUUAUAUACUACUUAUAUAAAUCUCAGGUUUUAUAUACUAAUUAUAUAAAUCUAAAAAUAAACUAAAAAGAAUUUUUUUAUUUCA
ensembl:lncRNA